GGCUGUUCCAAACCCUGUGGAGGAAACCUUGGGCGCAAGCGGUACAGUCAUCUGGGUGGCCCCGUGAAGGCUGCGCACACUGUAACACAGUUACAUGCCUAAUGAGAAAUGUCAGUUCCUAACUUCAGUGUCUCAUCAAAAGCAUUUUUUACAAGAAAAACGAAGACCUGUUGUGCUCAUGCAGAUUGCUGAAUUUAUUUCUCUGUUAAUAAUUUACUAUUAUUUACAAAAAAAAAAAAAAAAAGAUACUUUUAGGGCUAAUGUAAAAGAAAAGUAGGCUUACAUUUUAGAUGUUAUUAAAAUUAUGUACUUAAUCUAUAAUUAUUUAAUUGUUGUAAAAAGUCCAAUCAGAUUAAUAAAUUAUAUAAUUACUGAGUUUACAAAUGGAAAACUCUUGACCCUACCGAACUUGUGAAGCAACUUGAAAAUGUGAAAGGAAAGUCACCUUAAGUGAUGGGGAGGCUUCAGUGAGGCACUCGUGUAAAAUCAAAGCACAAAUACAGGGCACUGGGCAAGUGACUUAAAGCAUUCCUGUACAUUCCAUUAAAUGUGUGUCAUUAGAAGUAAAAAGGCAAGUUAUCUUGCGAUAUUUGGCGGUAUUUGUAACUAUAAAAAUUUUAAUUAAUACUAUUUUAAUAAUUCUUUAUCUUUCCUCUUUAAGGAGAAUGUUUUCAGAGAAUUUGUUUUUCACACAUGCAGAACAAUUUCAUACCAUUCCUGUAGCAUCAUAUUACACAUGUGUUUGCUCAUAUGAAUAUAUAAAGCCAGUUUUGAUUAGAUUUCUGUGAUGUAUGUCUGUGUGUGUAUAUAUGUGUGUGUGCACACACAUACACACACAGUCUUAUAUAUGAGUCAUUGGUAAAUUUUGAAAUCUAUUUUCUAUGGGAUAAGGUUGAAAACACCAUGAGAGAAUCUUAAUUAUGAAAUAAAGUACAUGAGUAUUUUAAGAAACAGGUUUUUGAAGACAGUAUAUUUCUGAUAGAAUUAAAGUAAGUGGUGUCUAUUUUAAACUUCACAUUCCUCAAUAGAACUAUAUCCAGAUAGGCCAUGAGACAGCUGGACUGUUCUUUCUUUAAGGUACUUGGGAACCCUGGCCCUUGCUAUGACACUCAUGGUGCUUUGCAUGUUGGCCGGAAUUACAGCCAUCCCUGUAUCUGAGGACUUGGCAGAAAUCACAUCCUUCAUUACAUCACACGUUGGAGUGAUUUAAAUUUUAUUGUGAACAGUAUUUGCCUUCCUUCUCCUCACAUCAUUCUUUUCGGGUGACAUCAUUUGAUAAAAACAGGCACUGUUUGGGAGCCAACAUACAGCCAAGAACAAAUUAAAUCGUUACUAUAUUACCUCAGAGUAUUUACAACACCAUGUGAAAACUUUGUUACUCUAAGCUGUAUGUAGCCUUAGAUGAAGUAUGGAGGUCUAAUUAGAGUUUCAGAAUGCACACCUUGCUAACCUUUGAUGUCUGGUAUGGAUUCAGCAAGAGCAGUCUCACAGAGGAGGACGGAUGGGACAUGAACUUCUGAGCUGACGCUGUUUCUCAGGACUGACCUGUUCUACAUAAACAUACAAGUUUUCUAUGGAACAAUGUUAAACUGUUUAAUGUUACUAGACACUGAAUGUUUUCUUUAUUCCUUUAAGAUGUAUUUGGCCUUCCCAUGAAAUCGUAUAAACAACAGAGAUGAUAAUAUGCUGAGCAUUCAAUAUACUUUGUCCGAUUGGU
rnacentral:lncRNA from 1 species